UUGAUUGUGCAACACAUCCACACGAAGCUCGGUCAACAUGACCUCUGUAAAAUCUAUCCAAAUCUUUAUGUUAUUCAAUCAACUUUUCAGAUACGUGGGAUGCACACUCUAAUCCGAGACUCUAAA